AUCGAUCUCAAGUUAGAGCGCUCAAGGAAAGUAAGCGAGCAUUGCAUCAAACGUCCCGUCAUACCCUUGAUGAGCUACUACACUCCAGUUUGUGCUACGGGUGAAUCGUCAUUGCCGUUGGAGAUGAAUUAAUCGCUACUGUACCCAUUGACCCAAAGGCUGGUAGUACUAAGCUAAUUUACAAAUCCAUCAAGCUGCCUUUUCUGAGUCCUCACGUAUUGAAAUGCUAAGCUCUUUAUUUUGGUAGGUCUCCUUUAAUUGAUUGUGGUGUAAGCCAUGCUCGGCCUGUGAUGAACUUUAUGUAUCAGCAGGCUCUCUAGUAGGUUAUGAACUUA